UCUUUUAAAAACUCUUUAAAAAACAGUGACUUUCCACAACGUUUUGGGUCUAAUCGACCGACUUGUUUUUUAGGCCUUUUUAAGUACUCUUUACACCCCAUAGAAAAUGUGUUGCGGACCGUGCGGGGGCUGCUGUGGCGGCUGCUGCGGUGGAUGCUGUUGUCCCUGCAUCACCAUCUAUACUUGCUGCACGAAGAUUUGCUAGUGGCACCGAGUGACACCCAUUCGCGCAGACAAGCCAUGGUGUCUGCGUCGAUGAUGGUGUACCGACGCCUUCGAUGUUUUUGUCUUCGAAGUACACUCCGUGCCGUUUUGUGGAAAUAAACUACUAUAAAUAAGCGUA